rnacentral:rRNA from 1 species
GAUAAACGCUGGCGGCGUGCAUGAGACAUGCAAGUCGAACGAAGGAUCGGGAUUGCUCGAUCCUUAGUGGCGGACGGCUGAGUAACGCGUAGGUGACCUACCCCGAAGUGGGGAAUAACUGCCCGAAAGGGUGGCUAAUACCGCAUGUGGUCGCACGUUCAUUCGUGCGAGUAAAGCCGCAAGGCGCUUCGGGAGGGGCCUGCGUCCGAUUAGCUCGUUGGUGGGGUAAUGGCUUACCAAGGCGACGAUCGGUAGGUGGUCUGAGAGGACGAUCACCCAGACUGGGACUGAGACACGGCCCAGACUCCUACGGGAGGCAGCAGUCGGGAAUUUUGCUCAAUGGGGGAAACCCUGAAGCAGCAACGCCGCGUGAGGGAUGAAGGCCUUCGGGUUGUAAACCUCUUUUGUCAGGGACGAUGAUGACGGUACCUGGCGAAUAAGCCACGGCUAACUACGUG